GUAAAGCAGUUGUUGCAGAAGAGGCAAGUAAAUUAUACGCUGUUAUUGCUAUUAUUUGCUGUGCUCUGCUAUUGUGCGAAUUAUAGAUUUGCUUAUUAGUGUUUGAGAGAAUUAAUGCUUCCGAGGUACUUGAUUGUUAAUGUAUAUGCAAUUUUGCAUCACAUGCAGAAAAGGAGUAAUAAGGUGCGCGACCAUUGAAGAAAUCGAAGCAGAGAAGUCCUCCAUUGAGAAGGAU
rnacentral:misc_RNA from 1 species